rnacentral:rRNA from 1 species
GAAGUAAGUAAGGGCGUACGGUGAAUGCCUUGGUGCCAACAGGCGAAGAAGGACGCGGCAAGCUGCGAAAAACCUCGGGAAGCUGCAAGCAAGCGAUGAUCCGGGGGUGUCCGAAUGGGGUAACCUGACUGGGGUAAUACCUGGUCGUUCAUACCUGAAUACAUAGGGUAUGAAACGCAAUACCCGCUGAAGUGAAACAUCUCAGUAAGCGGAGGAAAAGAAAGAGAAAUCGAUUCCGUAAGUAGUGGCGAGCGAAAGCGGAUGGAGCCCAAACCGAAGGUACUCCUUCGGGGUUGUAGGACCACGACAUAUUCGACCAUAGUGGAUAGUAGAACAGUCUGGAAAGGCUGGCCAUAGAAGGUGAAAGCCCUGUAGACGAAAUCCAGAGUGGGAAUUAGUGGUAUCCUGAGUAAUACAUCACACGUGGAACGAUGUAUGAAUCAGCGCGGACCACCGCGCAAGGCUAAAUACUAGUUGGCGACCGAUAGUGAACAAGUACCGCGAGGGAAAGGUGAAAAGAACCGCUGUGAGCGGAGUGAAAUAGAACCUGAAACCGUAUGUCUACAAAGUGUCAGAGCAGAGCAAUCUGCGAUGGCGUGCCUUUUGUUUAAUGAGUCUGCGAGUCAGUGUUUGUGGCAAGACUAAGGGCUUCCGGCCCGGAGUCGCAGCGAAAGCAAGUCCGAAUAGGGCGCAUUAAGUCGCAGGUACUGGACCCGAAGCGGAGGUGACCUACCCUUGGCCAGGUUGAAGCAUGGGUAAAACCAUGUGGAGGACCGAACAGGUGAACGUUGAAAAGUUCUCUGAUGAGCUGAGGGUAGGAGUGAAAGGCUAAUCAAACCCCGUGAUAGCUGGUUCUCUUCGAAAUGCAUUUAGGUGCAGCGUCACGUGCUGAUGCGCGGGGGUAGAGCACUGACAAGGCUAGGGGGCACACCCGCUUACCAAACCUUAUCAAACUCCGAAUACCGUGCAAUGGAACGUGGCAGUGAGACAGUGGGGGAUAAGCUUCAUUGUCGAGAGGGAAACAACCCAGACCAGCAGCUAAGGUGCCUAAAUAACGCUGAGUGGAAAGGAUGUGGGAUUACACAGACAGUGAGGAUGUUGGCUUAGAAGCAGCCACCAUUUAAAAAAUGCGUAAUAGCUUACUCAUCGAGUGAUCCUGCGCCGAAAAUGAUUGGCGAUCAAGCGUUAUACCGAAGCUCUGGACUUUGCCGCAAGGCAGAGUGGUAGAAGAGCGUUGCAUGCGCAUUGAAGGGUGAUGGCGACUGACCCUGGAGCGCAUGCAAGUGAGUAUGCAGACAUGAGUAACGUAAAGCCGGGUGAAAUCCCCGGCCGCCGUAAACCCGAGGUUUCCAGGGCAACGUGUUUCGUCCCUGGGUUAGCCGGGACCUAAGCCGAGGCCGAGAGGCGUAGGCGAUGGAUAUCAGGUUAAUAAUCCUGAGCUCGCGACCCUUAAACUGGGGGGACGCAUGAGAAGAGAUGACCAGGUUAUUGAAUUCCGAGCUGGGUCCACGGACCCAGCGCAUCAUCAAAUCGAGUGCCAAGAAAAGCCCCAGCGUAUGCUAAGCGACCCGUACCGCAAACCGACACAGGUGGGUGGGUAGAAUAUACCAAGGCGUAAGAGUGAAACCUGGUUAAGGAACUCGGCAAAUUAGCCCCGUAACUUCGGAAGAAGGGGUGCCUGCAGCGAUGCAGGCCGCAGAGAAAUGGCCCAACCGACUGUUUAUCAAAAACACAGCACUCUGCAAAGACGCAAGUCGAAGUAUAGGGUGUGACACGUGACCAAUGCCGAAAGAUUAAGGCAAGGGGUUAGCCGCAAGGCGAAGCUCUGAACCCAAGUCCCGGUGAAUGUCGGCCGUAACUAUAACGGUCCUAAGGUAGCGAAAUUCCUUGUCGGGUAAGUUCCGACCUGCACGAAUCGUGAAACGAGUUGGGCACUGUCUCAACCAGGCGCUCAGUGAAAUUGUAGUGGCGGUGAAGAUGCCGCCUACCCGCAGAAGGACGGAAAGACCCUAUAGACCUUAACUGUAAGCUGUCAUUGUUUCUUCGGUUUUAAUGCUCAGAGUAAGUGGGAGACGCUGAAGAUGCCCUUUAGGGGGCAUCCGAGUCAUCAAUGAGACACCACCCUUUGAAACUGGAGGAUCUAACCCUGAGCCGUGAAUCCGGCCAGAGGACCGUGUCAGCCGGUCAGUUUUACUGGGGCGGUAUCCUCCCAAAGAGUAACGGAGGAGCGCGAAGGUGGGCUCAGCCCGGUUGGCAACCGGGUGUCGAGUGCAUGGGCAUAAGCCCGCCUAACUGUGAGACCAACAAGUCGAGCAGAUGCGAAAGCAGGCCCAAGUGAUCCGGCGGUAGAAAGUGGAAUUGCCGUCGCUCAACGGAUAAAAGGUACCUUAGGGAUAACAGGCUGAUCACGCCCAAGAGUUCAUAUCGACGGCGUGGUUUGGCACCUCGAUGUCGGCUCGUCGCAUCCUGGGGCUGGAGAAGGUCCCAAGGGUCCGGCUGUUCGCCGGUUAAAGCGGCACGCGAGCUGGGUUCAGAACGUCGCGAGACAGUUCGGUCCUCUAUCCUCUGUGGGCGUUGGAAAAUUGAGGGGUUCAGACCUUAGUACGAGAGGACCGGGUCUGACGCACCACUGGUGCAUCGGUUGUACUGUCAAGUGCAUGGCCGAGUAGCUAAGUGCGGAAGGGAUAAGCGCUGAAAGCAUCUAAGCGCCAAGCCCAUCCCAAGAUGAGUUUUCCCUAUAGGUUCGUGGAAGACCACCACGUCGAUAGGUCGCAGGUGUAAGUGCAGCAAUGUAUUGAGCCAAGCGAUACUAAUCACCGAUAGACUUCAUCA